AUUGAACGCUGGCGGCAUGCCUUACACAAGCAAGUCGAACGGCAGCACGGGAGCAAUCCUGGUGGCGAGUGGCGAACGGGUGAGUAAUAUAUCGGAACGUGCCCAGUCGUGGGGGAUAACGUAGCGAAAGCUACGCUAAUACCGCAUACGAUCUAUGGAUGAAAGCGGGGGAUCGCAAGACCUCGCGCGAUUGGAGCGGCCGAUAUCAGAUUAGGUAGUUGGUGGGGUAAAGGCUCACCAAGCCGACGAUCUGUAGCUGGUCUGAGAGGACGACCAGCCACACUGGGACUGAGACACGGCCCAGACUCCUACGGGAGGCAGCAGUGGGGAAUUUUGGACAAUGGGCGCAAGCCUGAUCCAGCAAUGCCGCGUGCAGGAUGAAGGCCUUCGGGUUGUAAACUGCUUUUGUACGGAGCGAAAAGGCAUCCACUAAUACUGGGGGCUCAUGACGGUACCGUAAGAAUAAGCACCGGCUAACUACGUGCCAGCCGCCGCGGUAAAAC
rnacentral:rRNA from 1 species